rnacentral:rRNA from 1 species
GACGAACGCUGGCGGCGUGCUUAACACAUGCAAGUCGAACGGAAAGGCCCUGCUUUUGUGGGGUGCUCGAGUGGCGAACGGGUGAGUAACACGUGAGUAACCUGCCUUUGACUUUGGGAUAACUUCAGGAAACUGGGGCUAAUACCGGAUAGGAGCUCCUGCUGCAUGGUGGGGGUUGGAAAGUUUCGGCGGUUGGGGAUGGACUCGCGGCUUAUCAGCUUGUUGGUGGGGUAGUGGCUUACCAAGGCUUUGACGGGUAGCCGGCCUGAGAGGGUGACCGGACACACUAGGACUGAGAUACGGCCCAGACUCGUACGGGAGGCAGCAGUGGGGAAUAUUGCACAAUGGACGGAAGCCUGAUGCAGCAACGCCGCGUGCGGGAUGACGGCCUUCGGGUUGUAAACCGCUUUCGCCUGUGACGGAACGUGAGUGACGGUAAUGUAUAAAGAAGCACCGGCUAACUACGUG